CCUACGAGUGGCUGCAGUGGGGAAUUUUGGACAAUGGGCGCAAGCCUGAUCCAGCUAUUCCGCGUGUGGGAUGACGGCCCUCGGGUUGUAAACCACUUUAGUAGAGAACGAAAAGGAGCUAUCGAAUAAAUAGCUCUGCUGACGGUACUCUAAGAAUAAGCACCGGCUAACUACGUGACAGCAGCCGCGGUACUACGGAGGGUGCGGGCGUUAAUCGGAAUUAAUGGGCGGAAAGGGUGUGCAGGCGGCUGAGUAAGACAGAUGUGAAAUCCACGGGCUUAACCUGGGAACCGCAUAUGUGACGGCGUGGCUAGAGGGCGUCAGAGGGAGGGGGAAUUCCACGUGUAGCAGUGAAAUGCGUAGAUAUGUGGAAGAACACCGAUGGCGAAGGCAGCCUCCUGGGACGCAACUGACGCUCAUACACGAAAGCGUGGGGAGCAAACAGGAUGAGAUACCCCAGUAGUC
rnacentral:rRNA from 1 species